rnacentral:lncRNA from 1 species
GACCUCAUUUGGAAAGAGAGUCUUUAUAGAUGUAACACACUAAGAGGAGGUCAUUAGGGUCGGCCUUGACCAAUAUAACUGGUGUCCUGACAGGAAGGGGACAUUCAGACACAGAUGCACACAGGGAUGACCACGAAGGAACACAGGGGAAAGCCACGCUAAGACAGAGGAUUGAACUGUUGCAUGUACAAAGGAAGGAAUGCACAAAAGUAUGGCAGCCACCCACCAGAAACAAGAAAGAGGUAAAGAAGGAUGCUUGCUUAUAGGUUUUAGAAGGAAUAUGGCCCUGCCAACACCUGACAUCAGACUUGUAGUCUCCAGAACUGAGAAGACAAUCAUUUCUGUUGUUUGAAGCCACCCAGGUUUUGGUAUGUUGUUACAGCAGCCGUAACAAAUGAUCACCUGGAUCCAGCCAGGCCUGAAGCCACGGCUAUUUUAGUCACACAAGCCCCAAACUCUUCUUUUCUUUCUCUUGAUCCGAUAUCCCCCACUUGUAACCAGAGAGUGACUGUGUCAAAUGGUCCAUGUUGUCACUGCAGCUUUGUGCUUGGUAUCUGACCUGUUGGCCAUCUUUUCUCACCUCUGCCUGUGAGAUCACCCCCCCCCCCACCCCCCAUCCCCUGCCCCGGCGCCUUAGCAUGGGGAGGGCUGCAGGAAGUUUGUGCUGCUGAGUCACGAAGUGAAAUGACUGUUUAGGAAUAUUGCAAAAAUAAUAGCCUCUUAGAACAGUUUGAUGUCUUUUUGUUUACAUGUUUCCCCAAGCAGGGUAAUGAGGUUGGCGUCUCCGUGUGGCCCGUGGUUUACUCAGCACGACCAGGGAAGAAAGGCCCCUCUGGGCUUCAACACCUUUCAGGGGGAAAUUCAUGCUGUUCCUCUGGGCUAAGGCUUCACCAGCUCCUCUCCACUCCUCUUGCCCCAGCCCGUACUUUCAGCCCCUCUACUAUUCUGCUCCCUGGGGAUCAGGAAGAGGUACGAGAAGAUGAUGCAUUGAAGUUUGAAGGCAGAAUUUGCACUGGAUUGACAAUAAGCGAAGCACAUUCCAGCAGAGAAUAUCUUGAAAGGCAUGGUCUGGGAGCUUCACAUAGUUUCGGGCUGCCGGAAGAGAGAGUUCAUUUCAGGGAAUAAUUCUUGGAUUUGGGGAAUGGUGCCUGUGACUCUACACCCUUCCCUCCCCACCUGCCUCCGGGGACUCUGAGGGAGUGGCCCAUACUCAAACAGCCCUACAGGAGGUGCCUAGAUCCUCGUGCCCCAGGGAUAAUCCCCUAAACACCGUUUAGGGCAGCUUUGCGGCCGGUGAGUCACAAGCUUGUGGUGUGCCUCCUUUCUGGGUGUAGGAGUGUAGGGAGGAGGGUAGGGUAGCCGGGGG